GAGGAAUGGCGGUAACGCCAUUUUCAUUUGUUUAGUCGUGCUCUGGUUGUUUUCAGCGUGGGGGAGUGCAGCGUCAAAAUGAUGCAUUUGUAUGCAUAACUGUUGUAAUUUAGGUGCUUCUGUGUGUAGAUACGGUGGCAUAAUGUUGGUAGAACUGUUCAGAAAUAUCGCUUGCUAGCGCGUGCUAACUUAUUAGCCAGCGUGACUGCUAAUUAGCUGUUACAUUAGCUAUUAGUCUACGUGAACGGCGCCGGUGUUUUUGAUGUCCGUAUAGGAUGAAUUUGAGCUGAUGUGGUGAUUCUCUAACCAGUUAAAUUUCUAAGGGUGAAAAGUGUCGUUGAAUUCACUUUUAGGUGAGCCUUUGUUUGCUAUAUUGUUAGCUGAGACGAUCUCCGUUUGCUACCAGGCAUGAAAGGCCGAGCGACGAUCGCGUUAGCUUGAUGCUCCAACCAGCUUAGCUUUGCGUGAUCAAACGUUUCGCAGCCAGUCGAGCCUCCUGUUCAAACCAGGCCGCCUUUAGUGGCAACAGGAAACACCAGUCUGCAGGAGGGACAGGGUCUGUGGAUCCCAGCCCCUUCAUUUUAAGUCAGCGUGAGAGACAGGGACUGUGGCUUAAAAGGCCCAUCACUUUAACAGCCUGAAGGCGGGACAGGGUCUGUGGAUCACAACCUGCAGGAGGGACAGGAUCUCUAUCACAGCCACAUCACUUUAACCACCUCAGUUUUGCUAUAUUUUCAGUAAUUCCUCUUUUAAGCUUUCAGAAUAGGGCUCUCUUUGCACUGGCACUGAUGACUUGAUCCGCACGGUAUCCUCUGGUGUUAACCGUAGACUGGCGGGCAUACGUCAGCGCAGUCUCGUUUGAACCCUGUAAUGUUGGUA